UACGGAGGGGGCUAGCGUUGUUCGGAAUGACUGGGCGUAAAGCGCGCGUAGGCGGAUUGGCAAGUUGGGGGUGAAAUCCCGGGGCUCAACCUCGGAAUGGCCUUCAAGACUGCCGGUCUUGAGUUCGAGAGAGGUGAGUGGAAUUCCGAGUGUAGAGGUGAAAUUCGUAGAUAUUCGGAGGAACACCAGUGGCGAAGGCGGCUCACUGGCUCGACACUGACGCUGAGGUGCGAAAGCGUGGGGAGCAAACAGGAUUAGAAACCCCCGUAGUCC
rnacentral:rRNA from 1 species